rnacentral:rRNA from 2 species
UGCAGUCGAGCGGACGGAUGGGAGCUUGCUCCCAGAAGUCAGCGGCGGACGGGUGAGUAACACGUGGGCAACCUGCCUGUAAGACUGGGAUAACUCCGGGAAACCGGGGCUAAUACCGGAUAAUUCUUUCCCUCACAUGAGGGAAAGCUGAAAGAUGGUUUCGGCUAUCACUUACAGAUGGGCCCGCGGCGCAUUAGCUAGUUGGUGAGGUAACGGCUCACCAAGGCAACGAUGCGUAGCCUACCUGAGAGGGUGAUCGGCCACACUGGGACUGAGACACGGCCCAGACUCCUACGGGAGGCAGCAGUAGGGAAUCUUCCGCAAUGGACGAAAGUCUGACGGAGCAACGCCCCGUGAGUGAUGAAGGUUUUCGGAUCGUAAAACUCUGUUGUUAGGGAAGAACAAGUACCGGAGUAACUGCCGGUACCUUGACGGUACCUAACCAGAAAGCCACGGCUAACUACGUGCCAGCAGCCGCGGUAAUACGUAGGUGGCAAGCGUUGUCCGGAAUUAUUGGGCGUAAAGCGCGCGCAGGCGGUUCUUUAAGUCUGAUGUGAAAGCCCCCGGCUCAACCGGGGAGGGUCAUUGGAAACUGGGGAACUUGAGUGCAAAAGAGAAGAGUGGAAUUCCACGUGUAGCGGUGAAAUGCGUAGAGAUGUGGAGGAACACCAGUGGCGAAGGCCACUCUUUGGUCUGUAACUGACGCU